AGCGAACGCUGGCGGCGUGCCUAACACAUGCAAGUCGAACGUGAAAGGGAGCAAUCCCAAGUAAAGUGGCGUACGGGUGAGUAACACGUAGGUAAUCUACCCCAGAAUCUGGAAUAACCGGCCGAAAGGCUGGCUAAUACUGGAUAGAGCGACGGAAUCCGUAAUUGGGUUUUUCGGGAAAGGGAGCCUGUAAAAAGGCCUUCGUUCUGGGAUGAGCCUGCGUCCCAUCAGCUAGUUGGUGAGGUAAAAGCUUACCAAGGCAAUGACGGGUAGCUGGUCUGAGAGGACGAUCAGCCACACUGGAACUGAAACACGGUCCAGACUCCUACGGGAGGCAGCAGGGGGGAAUCUUGCGCAAUGGACGAAAGUCUGACGCAGCAACGCCGCGUGAGUGAAGAAGGCCUUCGGGUUGUAAAGCUCGGUCGAGUGGGACGAAAAUGCUUGGAGUUAACAGCUCCAGGAACUGACGGUACCACUAAAGGAAGCACCGGCUAACUCCGUG
rnacentral:rRNA from 1 species